rnacentral:rRNA from 1 species
GAUGAACGCUGGCGGCGUGCCUAAUACAUGCAAGUCGAGCGAACGGACGAGAAGCUUGCUUCUCUGAUGUUAGCGGCGGACGGGUGAGUAACACGUGGAUAACCUACCUAUAAGACUGGGAUAACUUCGGGAAACCGGAGCUAAUACCGGAUAAUAUUUUGAACCGCAUGGUUCGAAAGUGAAAGACGGUCCUGCUGUCACUUAUAGAUGGAUCCGCGCUGCAUUAGCUAGUUGGUAAGGUAACGGCUUACCAAGGCAACGAUGCAUAGCCGACCUGAGAGGGUGAUCGGCCACGCUGGAACUGGGACACGCUCCAGACUCCUACGGGAGGCAGCAGUAGGGAAUCUUCCGCAAUGGGCGAAAGCCUGACGGAGCAGCGCCGCGUGUGUGAUGAAGGUCCUCGGAUCGUAAAACUCUGUUAGUAGGGAAGAACAUAUGUGUAAGUAACUGUGCACAUCUUGACGGUACCUAAUCAGAAAGCCACGGCUAACUACGUG